rnacentral:rRNA from 1 species
GACGAACGCUGGCGGCGUGCUUAACACAUGCAAGUCGAACGAAGUGGCGAACGGGUGAGUAAUACGUGGGUAAACUGCCCUCCUUUUUGGGAUAAGCCUUGGAAACGGGGUCUAAUACCGACUAACGGGUGGGGGGCUCGCGGCCUAUCAGCUUGUUGGUGGGGUGCUGGCCUACCAAGGCGGUGCCGGGUAGCGGGCCUGAGCGGGUGACCGGCGACAUAGGGACUGAGAAAAGGCCUAGGAGCGUACGGGAGGGAGCAGUGGGGGAUAUUGCACAAUGGGUGAAAGAGUGAUGCCGCGAGGACGAGGGGGGGAUGAAGGCUUUCGGGUUGUAAACCUAGUUCGGUAUCGAACGGGUAGGUGGAGAAGAAGCGACGGCUAACUACGUGCCAGCAGCCGCGGUAAUAC